rnacentral:rRNA from 1 species
CCUACGGGAGGCAGCAGUGGGGAAUUUUGGACAAUGGGCGCAAGCCUGAUCCAGCAAUGCCGCGUGAGUGAAGAAGGCCUUCGGGUUGUAAAGCUCUUUUGUCAGGGAAGAAACGGUGGGGGCUAAUAUCCCUCGCUAAUGACGGUACCUGAAGAAUAAGCACCGGCUAACUACGUGCCAGCAGCCGCGGUAAUACGUAGGGUGCAAGCGUUAAUCGGAAUUACUGGGCGUAAAGCGUGCGCAGGCGGUUUUGUAAGUCUGUCGUGAAAGCCCCGGGCUCAACCUGGGAAUUGCGAUGGAGACUGCAAGGCUUGAAUCUGGCAGAGGGGGGUAGAAUUCCACGUGUAGCAGUGAAAUGCGUAGAGAUGUGGAGGAACACCGAUGGCGAAGGCAGCCCCCUGGGUCAAGAUUGACGCUCAUGCACGAAAGCGUGGGGAGCAAACAGGAUUAGAUACCCUGGUAGUCCACGCCCUAAACGAUGUCUACUAGUUGUCGGGUUUUAAUUAACUUGGUAACGCAGCUAACGCGUGAAGUAGACCGCCUGGGGAGUACGGUCGCAAGAUUAAAACUCAAAGGAAUUGACCGGNUGAGACGUGCGACGGACGACGACGAGGGAGGAGG